CAGCCGCCACGGUAAUACGAAGGGUGCAAGCGUUACUCGGAAUUACUGGGCGUAAAGCGUGCGUAGGUGGUUGUUUAAGUCUGCUGUGAAAGCCCUGGGCUCAACCUGGGAAUUGCAGUGGACACUGGGCAACUAGAGUAAGGUAGAGGAUAGUGGAAUUUCCGGUGUAGCAGUGAAAUGCGUAGAGAUCGGAAGGAACAUCUGUGGCGAAGGCGACUAUCUGGGCCAUUACUGACACUGAGGCACGAAAGCGUGGGGAGCAAACAGGAUUAGAUCCCCCGUAGUCCCUGUCUCUUAUACC
rnacentral:rRNA from 1 species